CGGCGGACGGGUGAGUAACACGUGGAUAACCUACCUAUAAGACUGGGAUAACUUCGGGAAACCGGGGCUAAUACCGGAUAAUAUUUUGAACCGCAUGGUUCAAAAGUGAAAGACGGUCUUGCUGUCACUUAUAGAUGGAUCCGCGCUGCAUUAGCUAGUUGGUAAGGUAACGGCUUACCAAGGCAACGAUGCAUAGCCGACCUGAGAGGGUGAUCGGCCACACUGGAACUGAGACACGGUCCAG
rnacentral:rRNA from 1 species